UACAGAGGGGGCAAGCGUUGUUCGGAAUUACUGGGCGUAAAGGGCGCGUAGGCGGCCUGUUAAGUCGAACGUGAAAUCCCCGGGCUCAACCCGGGAACUGCGUCCGAUACUGGCAGGCUUGAAUCCGGGAGAGGGAUGCGGAAUUCCAGGUGUAGCGGUGAAAUGCGUAGAUAUCUGGAGGAACACCGGUGGCGAAGGCGCCCACCUGGCCUGCUACUGACGCUGAAGCUCGAAAGCUAGGGGAGCAAACGGG
rnacentral:rRNA from 1 species